rnacentral:rRNA from 1 species
UAACACGUAGGAGGCAAACGUUAUCCGGAUUUACUGGGCGUAAAGCGCGUGUAGGUGGUUCUGUAAGUAGGGCGUGAAAGCUCCUGGCUCAACUGGGAGAGGCCGUUCUAAACUGCAGAGCUAGAGGAUGGUAGAGGGAGGUGGAAUUCCGGGUGUAGCGGUGGAAUGCGCAGAUAUCCGGAGGAACACCAGUGGCGAAAGCGGCCUCCUGGACCAUUCCUGACACUCAGACGCGAAAGCUAGGGUAGCAAACGGGAUUAGAGACCCCGGUAGUCCUAGCCCUAAACGAUGUAGACUUGGCGUCGGUGGCUUAAUCGUCAUCGGUGUCGUAGCUAACGCGAUAAGUCUACCGCCUGGGGACUACGGCCGCAAGGUUAAAACUUAAAGGAAUUGACGG